rnacentral:misc_RNA from 1 species
CUAUUUAGGGAUUUGAGUUGUAUAUAUAUGAGUGUAUUAUCAAUGAAUAAAAUUAGGGAUUUUAGUUCAAAAUUAACACCCUCCAAUUCUUAUUCUCGCGUCCCUACCUAUUGUACCCUGCUCCAUACCAUAUCUUAUUCUGCCUAUUACAGUCAGCUCAUCUCAUCCCAUCCCAUCUCCUUAUUCAUAACAAAAGAAAUAGCAAACAAAUACAAGAACAAAGGGCAAACAGAAAGAAUGAAGGAUAAUGUGGGAAAUACAGAAUAAGGGGACGGAAUGAGAUGAGCUGACUAGCAAUAAAAUUUCCACAAAAGUUUAUGAGAAACUCAUUUAUCUUGAAAUUACUAUCACCAAAUAAAAAUUCAUAGAAUCAGUCCAAAAACUUAUAAUUUAGAAGGAACAAAAUCAUUAUGUAAGUAUUAAAACAACACAUUCUGCAUUUAAGAAUAGACAAAACCAACUAGCAUAAUGACAAGAAACUGCAAUAUAUAUAUAUACACACCUUAAGCUUGAGAAAGCAAACCACUAAAUAUUUCUUUAGAAAUCAGUUUUGAAUAUUUAAUAAAUCUGCUAAUUACUUCCCAUAAUUAAGUUUAUUAAAAAGAAAUAUUCAAUUGGUAAGGAAAUGAAUAGAAAAAUUGUGAUCCAACGGGAAAGUUAUCAAACAAUUUACUUCCUAGGACCAAUAGGCAAGAGUUAAACAAUAAUUAAUGAGACUAUACAUACUUUUUAGGGAAAAGUACAGAAACAUACCCUAUAUUUCAGCACAUUUUUAUUUUAGGAGCAAUAGAAUUUUUUCAUUUUUAUCAGUUUAGCAAAUUACGAUUUUCAUGUGUUAUCACUUUAGUACCAUAUUUAGAUAACAUCAUUGAAAUAUUACCCGUAUAGCUCCAUCAUGGCAUAAAAUAACAAUUAAGUUUGAGUAUUAUGCACAUGGCACCUACUUCUUAGACAAUCAAAUGGUAUCUCAUUAAUGUCGCUUUAACAAGUCCCCUUUUGUUUUAAAAUAUAAGUUUAUUAGGCAAAAAGAGAAAAGGAAAGAUUUUUUAUUUUCAAUCACAUGAAAAUAUUGAUAAUAGAAUAUUUUGUUUGCAUUACGAGUUUUUUUACAACAUAUAGGUACCAUAUACAAAUCAUUUUAGAAAUGUCAGCCAAAAUAGUAUUUAACAAAUAAAAAUUAUAAGGUACUAAAAUGAUAUACAUGUAUUUUUUAAAAAAUAAAAUAAAAAAGCCACGAACCCCAAAGUGAAAAAGUGCCCAAAGGGGAGGCUUUUGAACUUCUCUUUAUUCUUUAUUAUUUUUCCUACUUUCUGAAGAGAACAGAUUAUGAAUGCUUCACAUUUCGCUUUCACCUACCUGCAAGAGUUGCAAGUAAUCAGCAAUUCAAGUAUAAAGUAGAAUAACUGAAAAGAUGUUAUUUAAUCAUAGAAAAGUGUGGAAACUAGGGAGUAAAUGGAGAAAGGACAGGAAAGAAGGGAUCGAAGAAGAGAGAAAGGAAAUAUUCUGUAAUGAUAUUAGUUCUGGAAUGCCUCAAUUACAGGUAUUUCCCUCUUUAUAUGCUAGCACCUAUUUGUAACAAAAUAACAGAAUAACUACCCUGUUUCCCUCUGCUGGAAUUGAUGAGAUUCAAUUCAAUGCUCCAACUUAUGGAGUGUUAUGGAAAGAUUAUAUAUAUCUUUUAUAUAUUCCUAUUUAGUAUA